UACGUAGGGGGCAAGCGUUGUCCGGAUUCAUUGGGCGUAAAGAGCGUGUAGGCGGCCAGGUAGGUCGGUUGUGAAAACUGGAGGCUCAACCUUCAGAGGUCGACCGAAACCAUCUGGCUAGAGUCCGGGAGAGGAGAGUGGAAUUCCUGGUGUAGCGGUGAAAUGCGCAGAUAUCGGGAGGAACACCAGUAGCGAAGGCGGCUCGCUGGGCCAUUCCUGACGCCGAGACGCGAAAGCUAGGGGAGCGAACAGG
rnacentral:rRNA from 1 species